rnacentral:lncRNA from 1 species
AAAACCCCAUAUACCAUGGCCUUAAUUAUCAUUUCAGUAUAGUCCUUAGUAGUUUAUUCCAGCAGUCAGCUCCGGCCUAAGCAUCAUCUACGUAGGGGACCGAUGAACAUAAGUGAAUGAUCCAGUGAAAUAAAUAAAAGAAAAAGGAAACUCCAGGAUAGGUGACCCUCACAAAGUCAUUUAAACCAAAAUGUUGUAAAAAUUUGCUGCAAAAGAAAAAGAAAAAGAAAAAC